rnacentral:rRNA from 1 species
UCGGGAAUAUUGGACAAUGGGGGAAACCCUGAUCCAGCAAUACCGCGUGUGUGAAGAAGGCCUGCGGGUUGUAAAGCACUUUUAGUGGGGAAGAUAAUGACGUUACCCACAGAAAAAGCACCGGCUAACUCCGUG